CUUGCUUAAGCUCUCUUCUCUUGUCUGCCACCAUGUGAAACAUGCCUUUCACCUUCUACCAUGAUUGUGAGGCCUCCCCAGCCAUGUGAAACUCUCUCUCUUUGCCUGCUGCCAUCCAUGUAAGACGUGACCUGCUCCUCCUUGCCUUCCACCAUGAUUGUGAGGCUUCCGCAGCCACAUAGAACUGAGAGACAGCAAGGUUGCCUCCAGGGGGACAGCAGCAGGACACCCCCCCCCCCCACCAACAGCACAAGCAGAGGGACAUGGGGCAUCCGACAUGGCCAGAGCUGUUGACUGUGGCCAGGCAGGUACACCCAGCAGGAAUCCGGUGUGAGCCAUGCCUCUGGCUGGAAGUGAGUUUGCUGUUCACAGAUGGCCCUGGCUCCUCUGUGAGCAUCUAAAGCUGGCAGCGAUAUGUGCUUUUCUGAGACUCACUGCUUGAACUGCAUGCAGGGAGGAGGCUGGGCACUGGCAACCCAACUGGCCUGGUGCUCUGUGAUGAGGAUGAGAGAUUCGGAGCCAUCACCCAAAGGCAGAGCUCCCAAGGCUGUUCAGUGUCGACUUGGAGCCCAAGAAGCAGGAAUGCCUUAUCAAUAAAAAGAGUCAAAAUCUGUAAAA